UAAUUAAUCCUGGAUUAGCAUAUUGGGGCUAGGACACACACAAUGGCCUAUUUCAUCACAGGGUGUUCACAGUGGGAUCACAGUGCUUUGUCUGUGUGGGAUCAUUAAAAGGAUCCAGGGAGGUAACAGGGCAUAAUUGAGUGAGAUUGGACUGCUCUAGAUUCAACCAGCUUUUUGGUCUUUUUAUUGAAAAGGAGAGAGGACAACAGUAUAAAAUGGAAAGUGACACAGAAGAUUGGAGAGACAGAGUGGUGCUGACAUUUCCCAAAGGUCAUGAAGGGGAUUCAAACCCAUGAAGCUGUGGCCAAUCAGAAAGCAGCUUUCAGAGGAUGGAGCCCACAGCUGGAGUGGUACUCCAGGACCCCGUGACAUCACAGUUGGCAUCACACCCAUCAUACCACUCGGGGGCAGAAAAACUCCAUGACAAGCUGACAAUCUCACAGCUCUGACAUAUUAUCACCUUAUAAAGUUGUUAUGGCGUGUUGGAAAAUUAUGAGUUAUUUGGACUAGUGUUUUUGGCUGCCUGACAAAUAUAAGCCUGAUAUUCACUCUCCUUUUAGCUCUGUUUUGGUUUCCACCAACCCCUGAGAAAAAUGUCUGGCUAUUUAGCUGCUAGAUGCUAGACUUUCCUCACCAGCUAGUUGCUAACUUUGUGUGUCUGAUGUUUGGUAGUACCUCACAGGUUUCUGUAUAUCUGUUUAAUAUUUGAUUUUUUUGUGUAUAUUACAGCUGCAAAGUUGAUUGUAAAAUGGAUGUUCACACUUCACACAUGGAGUGUGUGAAGCCCUUUGAGUGGUCGUAAGACUAGAAAGGCGCUAUACAAGUACAGUCCAUUUACCAUUACCAUUUAUCAUUUACAGCUUUAAUUUCCAGAAUUAUUAGAAUUAAUCAUGAUAGUGGUAUUAGAAAUAUUGGCAUUUCUCAUUCAUUGUCUGUGGUAGCUGAUAAUAAUCAAUAUUCAGUACAAGAUUUCAGGACUGCAGUUUUUAAUGCCUAAAAUUGUAUGACUAAUACCAAUGUGUACUUGUCUGGAACCUCUCAGUUCAUUUUUGAUUUUCAAGGGACGCAGACUAAAAUGCCUUGGGACCAUGGAUGUAUUAUAAGAACUGGAUACCGGACCCCAAAAUGGCACCUAUCCAUUCCAAUGAGAAUUACUCGCCUGGCGCAUACGCCAAAAAGGUUUUCUAGCUUCUGGGUUUACUUCUGGGGUGUGCAGCCUACUGAAUGUUUCUCCCGCUGGCCCCGCCCGUGAGUUCCCACACGGCCCAUAGACUUUACAUUGUGAUGACGUCACAGAUUUUCAAAUCACUUUUAUUAGCUCAAGGAAAGUUUUACAAAUAUAAAACCUUCAUGGAUCAAAAAUUCAUAAUAGAAAGAGUCAUAACUUGUUUGCAGUUUGAGGUGUGCUAUGUAGUUGGCCGCAUCUAGCUAAAAAAUAAAGUGCAUAUUUAAAUGUUUAUUCAGGUCAGGGGUUUUUUUUAAAUGUAAACUGACCUAUGAAUACAGAAGUACCUGAAUACCUGAAGCAGGAGGUCUGCACUUGCUUUUUGUCGAUGUCUCCUAAUACGUCUAAAACCACACUUGAGAUUCAGUUUGGAGACUGAAGACCACGAAUCCGCUCACGCCUGCAUC